CCUACGGGAGGCAGCAGUGAGGAAUAUUGGUCAAUGGGCGCGAGUCUGAACCAGCCAUGCCGCGUGAAGGAAGACGGCUCUAUGGGUUGUAAACUUCUUUUAUACGGGGGUAAACGCAGGUACGCGUAUCUGUCUGAAAGUAUCGUACGAAUAAGGAUCGGCUAACUCCGUGCCAGCAGCCGCGGUAAUACGGAGGAUUCAAGCGUUAUCCGGAUUUAUUGGGUUUAAAGGGUGCGUAGACGGAGCGUUAAGUCAGUGGUCAAAUUGUGGGGCUCAACCCCUUAUCGCCAUUGAAACUGGCGCUCUUGAGUGGAAGAGAAGUAUGCGGAAUGCGUGGUGUAGCGGUGAAAUGCAUAGAUAUCACGCAGAACCCCGAUUGCGAAGGCAGCAUGCCGGCUUCCUACUGACGCUGAAGCACGAAAGCGUGGGGAUCGAACAGGAUUAGAUACCCGAGUAGUC
rnacentral:rRNA from 1 species